AUUGAACGCUGGCGGCAGGCCUAACACAUGCAAGUCGAACGGUAACAGAAAGCAGCUUGCUGCUUUGCUGACGAGUGGCGGACGGGUGAGUAAUGUCUGGGAAACUGCCUGAUGGAGGGGGAUAACUACUGGAAACGGUAGCUAAUACCGCAUAACGUCGCAAGACCAAAGAGGGGGACCUUCGGGCCUCUUGCCAGCAGGGGUGCCCAGAUGGGAUUAGCUAGUAGGUGGGGUAACGGCUCACCUAGGCGACGAUCUCUAGCUGGUCUGAGAGGAUGACCAGCCACACUGGAACUGAGACACGCUCCAGACUCCUACGGGAGGCAGCAGUGGGGAAUAUUGCGCAGUGGGCGCGAGCCUGAUGCAGCCAUGCCGCGUGUAUGGAGACGGCCUUCGGGUUGUAAAGUACCUUCAGCGGGGAGGAAGGGAGUAAAGUUAAUACCUUUGCUCAUUGACGUUACCCGCAGAAGAAGCACCGGCUAACUCCGUG
rnacentral:rRNA from 1 species